rnacentral:rRNA from 1 species
AGUGAACGCUGGCGGCGUGCUUAACACAUGCAAGUCGAACGAUGAAGCUCCUGCUUGCAGGAGUGGAUUAGUGGCGCACGGGUGAGUAAUAUAUAGAUAAUGUGCCUCUUAGUCUGGGAUAGCCAUUGGAAACGAUGAUUAAUACUAGAUACUCCUUCUAAUCAUAAGAUUAGUCGGGAAAGUUUUUUCGCUAAGAGAUCAGUCUAUAUCGCAUCAGUUAGUUGGUGGGGUAACGGCCUACCAAGACAAUGACGCGUAGCGGGUUUGAGAGGAUGAUCCGCCACACUGGUACUGAGACACGGACCAGACUCCUACGGGAGGCAGCAGUGAGGAAUAUUGCACAAUGGGGGAAACCCUGAUGCAGCAACGCCGCGUGGAGGAUGACGCAUUUCGGUGUGUAAACUCCUUUUAUGAGUCAAGAAAAUGACGGUAGCUCAUGAAUAAGCACCGGCUAACUCCG